CGCCCCGCGGCUUUUCUGGGAGGGCGGCGGGGUCCUGGCGGGGCUGUGGUUUGGCAGCGCCUCGGGGAGAAGGGCACGGUCCCCGCGGCCGUGACUGGGCUGUAACGGGGAGCCGGACGCUGCCCGGCCGCGUGGUCGGGGCCGGCUGCUGGUAAAGGGGCCGGGGUCCCCGCCCUUUCCGGGCUGCGCUGUGCGCUUGGGGAGACCUUUGGGUGUCUGCGGGCACGGACGAGGCGUUCCGGAGCUCGGGCCCAGGGGACUGCCUCCACACAGGAAGCAGCACAGGGGACUGGCCGAGGGGCUCAGCCUGGGCACGGCCCCAGCAGGAGCAGCCCUGGGCACACUGGCACAGGAGGAUGAGCCAAGGUGAGGAGCACGGCCCCAGCGUGGCACCAAGAGGCGCUGGCACAGGAGGAUGAGCCCAGACAGAGGAGACGCUGCUGCACCACGUCCCUGCAGAGCCCCGCCUCCCUCCUGCUCUCAGGGCUGGGACUGGGAGCCACCUCCGUGCAGACAGAGAGCGGCCCCUGGUCUGGCUUCACUCCCCGAGGGAAGAGGCUGCUCAGAGCUCCUGGUUAGGGACAUCCACGCCUGCGCCUGGCUGGCAAUCCGGGGUGCACCAGUUCCAGAUCCAGCCACGAGAGGUUCCUGCUGCAGCUGCAGGUGUUACCCAGUCCAGCUUGCUGAACCCCCAGCUCUGGCUGUGGCGUGUUCUUCAUUCCAGCUCUGGAACUGAGAUGCUGCAGUUGAUGGCUGCUCCAGUUCCUUCCAGCUCUGCCUUAAUAACUGCUGCUUUUUGUUACAAGCCACUUUAAAGCUCCAGCUAAUUGCGGUUAUCUGGGCUUUUGGCCAAGUUGUACAUGACUCACUGUCAUCAAUUACAUAUAGCUAUUGACUUUGUUAUAACUAUUAACUAUUUAUUGUCAUAAAGUUAUUGUUUAA